ensembl:lncRNA
GUUUGAGUUUGAAAUCACUGCUCCAGCUGAAAGAGUACUCUCUUUGGAGACAAAGAAGGGAGGAGGAAGAAGGGAAAAAAGCUAACUGGUCUCUCUUCAUUCUUCUGAUGGCAGUGACAGAAGAUAAGCGAGGUUAUUUGGUGGAGGCUGAUGCAGCUUGUUGGGUCAUGCAUAGCUGCUUUUGACAUCCGACCUGUCGCUUGGUGACUGCUCUUAUCUCCCUAGACCUGUCAGCUUGGGUUUUUUUCACCAGCACUCCUCCACAUCCAAAAAGACCCUCAUCAUACUGAACACACACUUCCUUCACUCUCUUCCUUCAUGACUAAGUGCGAUAUGAGAGUCAAAUCUCUCACUGUGCUAAAAUGCUUUCUGGACAUGGCCGUGCACUGAAAUGGAAUCCUUUCCUGCUGGAUCAUGAGCACAUUAUGAACAAUCGUCCAUUUGUAUGAUAAUCACAUCUGGGAGCACAGGAUAGUAAUAUAGUGUAAUUUGAUGUAAUGUUUAAAGCUGAUCGGACACCAGUCUAUUCAAACUCCAUCUGUUCACAACAUGCCCCUGUCUUUUAAUGCUCUGGGGUUGGCGGUCAAUUGCAGGUGUCGUUUAACUUGAUUGCCGUUUUGGAUGGGGCAGUAGGAAUAUGCGACGGUUAAAAAAACGAAUUACUGAGCACUGACAGCCGGGUUACAGGUCAUCCAAUAACGGCAUGGGCAGCAUGCUGAAAUGUAAAGCAGGAGAACUACAUGGACUUACCCUCAGCCUUUCAGCCAAAUGGAUAAGACUACUGAUAAUCUAUGAUCAACUUCCAGAUGUAGGAAUCUAGAGGUUUUCAAGCAGCCUUUUGAAGAAAAGAGUACCAUAAUCAUCUGGAACUACACGGGGUAAUGAGCCCAGGGCUUGCCCUCCUGCUGUUUCCUCUAAGACUGAGAACACAUAAUCUACCCACUGCAGCAAAACAGAAUGAAGAAAAAGGGAGACGAAAGGGCAUGGAAGAGGAAGAGAGAGAGUUCAGGAGUAAAAGAUCAAUUGAAGAGACAUGAGCUGAAGCAUCGGCCUCCCAUCGGGAUCACAACGGCAAACUCUCUGAGAGUGGUGUUGGCGGCAUGCUGAGGGAUCGAUAUAAACUCGCACGUGUA